rnacentral:ncRNA from 1 species
GCUUCAGGGCGGGGCGAAAUUCCCCACCGGCGGUAAAGUCCGCGAACCAAUUUAAAUUGAUUGGCCGAUUCGGUGAAAUUCCGAAACCGACAGUAUAGUCUGGAUGGAAGAAGU